rnacentral:tRNA from 1 species
CAUUAGAUGACUGAAAAAGUAUUGGUCUCUUAAACCAUCCUAUAGUAAAUAAAUUUUUACUUCUAAUGA